rnacentral:lncRNA from 1 species
CAAACGGCUGCUGCUCAUUUAGAGUGAUGGAACCGUAAGGGUCGAGUUACGGGCAUAUCGGGGGUGUACUCGGCGUCUGCUCGCUGCAAGCCCUGCGACCCGCGGCAGCCUGAUCCUGCUCCGUGUGACAGAAGCAGCCGUUCAGUGGCUCCGGAGCCG